UUGGCGGACGGGUGAGUAACGCGUGGAUAACCUGCCGUAUGCAGGGGGAUACCAACUGGAAACAGUUGCUAAUACCGCAUAAGCGCACAGUACCGCAUGGUAUAGUGUGAAAAGAUUUAUCGGCAUACGAUGGAUCCGCGUCCGAUUAGCCAGUUGGCGGGGUAGAAGCCCACCAAAGCGACGAUCGGUAGCCGGCCUGAGAGGGCGGACGGCCACAUUGGGACUGAGACACGGCCCAAACUCCUACGGAAGGCAGCAG
rnacentral:rRNA from 1 species